CACAUGCAAGUCGAGUGCGCGGUUGUAGCAAUACAACUGGUGCACGGCGCACGGGUGCGUAACACGUGGGCAAUCUGCCCUCCGAUGGGGAAUAACCCCGCGAAAGCGGGGCUAAUACCGCAUAACAUUCCGGAGACUCCGGUUUCCGGACUCAAAGCCGUAAGGCGUCGGAGGUGGAGCCCGCGCACGAUUAGCUAGUUGGUAGGGUAACGGCCUACCAAGGCUUCGAUCGUUAGCUGGUCUGAGAGGAUGGCCAGCCACACUGGAACUGAGACACGGUCCAGACUCCUACGGGAGGCAGCAGUGGGGAAUCUUGCACAAUGGGCGAAAGCCUGAUGCAGCGACGCCGCGUGGGGGAUGAAGCUUCUCGGAGUGUAAACCCCUUUCGACCCGGACGAAUACCUCGCAAGAGGGGUGACGGUACGGGUAUAAGAAGCCCCGGCUAACUACGUGCCAGCAGCCGCGGUAAGACGUGGGGGGCCAGCGUUGCUCGGAAUUACUGGGUGUAAAGGGUCAGUGGGCGGUGUGGCAAGUCGGGAGUGAAAUCUCUGGGCUUAA
rnacentral:rRNA from 1 species